rnacentral:rRNA from 1 species
UGGGGAAUUUUGGACAAUGGGCGAAAGCCUGAUCCAGCAAUGCCGCGUGAGUGAAGAAGGCCUUCGGGUUGUAAAGCUCUUUUAUUCGGAAAGAAACGGCGCAGACUAAUACUCUGCGCUAAUGACGGUACCGGAUGAAUAAGCACCGGCUAACUACGUGCCAGCAGCCGCGGUAAUACGUAGGGUGCAAGCGUUAAUCGGAAUUACUGGGCGUAAAGCGUGCGCAGGCGGUUGGAUAAGCCAGAUGUGAAAGCCCCGGGCUCAACCUGGGAAUUGCAUUUGGAACUGUCCGGCUAGAGUACGUCAGAGGAAGGUGGAAUUCCACGUGUAGCAGUGAAAUGCGUAGAGAUGUGGAGGAACACCGAUGGCGAAGGCAGCCUUCUGGGACUGUACUGACGCU